UACAGGGGGGGGCAAGCGUUGUUCGGAAUUACUGGGCGUAAAGCGCGCGUAGGCGGCUUUGUAAGUUAGAGGUGAAAGCCCGGAGCUCAACUCCGGAAUUGCCUUUAAGACUGCAUCGCUAGAAUCAUGGAGAGGUUAGUGGAAUUCCGAGUGUAGAGGUGAAAUUCGUAGAUAUUCGGAAGAACACCAGUGGCGAAGGCGACUAACUGGACAUGUAUUGACGCUGAGGUGCGAAAGCGUGGGGAGCAAACAGG
rnacentral:rRNA from 1 species